AUCAGAGGCUCGGGAAAGACCGAGCGCGACCGUUGUGUCCAGACCCCAGACCAGUUUUCAAAUCCUGUUGUAACAACAACAUCGAGACGACAGCAACAGUAAUAGAAACCACCAGGGGCAAUAAUAUGCACUGAUCCCUCUGUGAGCGCAGAGUGCCAGACACCGUAGCUGCGUCCUCAUUGGACUCUGUUGUGACUCCCUUUUCAUGAAGGAAGAGAACUAAAGGCAGAGAGGUUGAGUGACUUCUCCAGGGUCCUCCGGGCUAACCCGGCCUGCUGGCUCAAGAGCUGACUGGGAAACUGCAGGAGGUGGAUACUCAAUCUAAUCUGCCCUGUACAGAUGGAGAAACUUAGGUUCAGAGAGGUGAAGCGACUGACCCAAGGACACAUAGCAGGCAAAUAGCAGGAGCUGGAUUGGAAGCCAUGACCAGCCUGACUCAAGGCCUGAAGACUCCAAACCCUAUCCCAAACAGCUCUGUGCAGAGAAGCUUGGCAUUUUCUCCACUCUCUCUAUAGCACUCAGGAAAUAACCAGGCUAUUGAUCCUCACCUUUGAAGUCAAGAAAGGGAGGCCUAGAGAUACAGUAAAAAUUAAUAAGCAUUCACAAUCAUGGGGCUUCCGAAGGCUGAGAUAGCAAUGAACUUGAACUAACUUGUGAAAUGCUCACUAGAACCCCAAGAGGUGCUGUAGACACAUCAGUGAACAGAACAAGGAUCUCUGCCUUCAUGAGGAGCAAGCAGAAGACAGACCAAACAAAUGAGGUUUCUGUUUUCCAGGAGCAGAAACUGGGGGUUAGAGGGAUGAGGUAACUUGCCCACGAUCCCACAGCUGGGAUGUGGCAGAGAGGAGACCCAGCCCUGCUCUUAACUGCCAAGCCCUCCCCGCACUUCUUUUCAGCCACAAACUCAAAAGUCUUCCCCUCCCCUUCUUUCCAAGCCCCUUCCUUCCUCUCUGCAGCCCUGGAACAGUAAUGAACACCCUUAGACCCAGAGGCUCUGGGCCCUGGGCCAAACCCACCCAAUGAAAGCAAACAAAAUAAAUUGAUGGUGAAAAUGC
ensembl:lncRNA